CGGGUGAGUAACACAUCGGAACGUACCCCGGAGUGGGGGAUAGCCCGGCGAAAGCCGGAUUAAUACCGCAUAUGCUCUGAGGAGGAAAGUGGGGGACUCGCAAGGGCCUCACGCUCUGGGAGCGGCCGAUGUCCGAUUAGCUAGUUGGUGGGGUAAAGGCCUACCAAGGCGACGAUCGGUAGCUGGUCUGAGAGGAUGAUCAGCCACACUGGGACUGAGACACGGCCCAG
rnacentral:rRNA from 1 species